rnacentral:siRNA from 1 species
UAAAAGUUUCACUGCCCACAUA